CUUAGCCUUAAACUUCAAUAAUUAUAUAAACAAAAUUAUUUGCCAGAGGACUACUAGCCACAGCUUAAAACUCAAAGGACUUGGCGGUACUUUAUAUCCAUCUAGAGGAGCCUGUUCUAUAAUCGAUAAACCCCGCUACACCUUACCCCCCCUUGCUAAUUCAGCCUAUAUACCGCCAUCUUCAGCAAACCUUAAAAAAGCGCAAAAGUAAGCGAGAGUAUCAGCAUAAAAACGUUAGGUCAAGGUGUAGCCCAUGGGGGGGAAAGAAAUGGGCUACAUUUUCUGUCAGAGAACAUACGAAACUCUUUAUGAAAUUAAAGAAUAAAGGAGGAUUUAGUAGUAAAUUAAGAAUAGAGAGCUUAGUUGAAUAGAGCAAUGAAGUA
rnacentral:rRNA from 1 species